AUUUUCAUGUGGUAGACCGAGACUGCCUGCGAAGCAGAAGGUUCCGGGUUCAAUUCCCGGUGGGGUUA